rnacentral:rRNA from 1 species
AACUUCAAAAAUAGGUCUCAGUUCGGACUGUAGGCUGCAACUCGCCUACACGAAGUUGGAAUUGCUAGUAAUCGUGGAUCAGCAUGCCACGGUGAAUACGUUCCCGGGUCUUGUACACACCGCCCGUCACACCAUGGGAGCUGGUAACACCCGAAGUCCGUAGUCUAACCUAUAUGGAGGACGCGGCCGAAGGUGGGUUUGGUAAUUGGGGUGAAGUCGUAACAAGGUAUC